GGCCUCGUGGCCUAAUGGCUAGGGCGCUAGAUUUCGGUCUGCUUUCCCUUCGACAUCUCCAAUGUGAAAGAACGUCAAGGGAGAUCUACAAAGCUGAUUCUCUAGAGAUUGUCGGUUCGAGUCCGGCCGAGGUCG